rnacentral:rRNA from 1 species
AUUGAACGCUGGCGGCAGGCCUAACACAUGCAAGUCGAGCGAGCGGCGGACGGGUGAGUAAUGUAUGGGGACUGCCCGAUAGAGGGGGAUAACUACUGGAAACGGUAGCUAAUACCGCAUACUAUCGGAUAACCCAUAUGGGAUUAGCUAGUAGGUGAGGUAAUGGUUCACCUAGGCGACGAUCCCUAGCUGGUCUGAGAGGAUGAUCAGCCACACUGUGACUGAGACACGGCCCAGACUCCUACGGAGGCAGCAGUGGGGAGUAUUGCACAAUGGGCUCAAGCCUAAUGCAGCCAUGCCGCGUGUAUGAAGAAGGGCCGAGGGUUGUAAAGUACUUUCAGUCGGGAGGCGUUACCGACAGAAGAAGCACCGGCUAACUCCGUGCCAGCAGCCGCGGUAAUAC